GAUGAACGCUGGCGGUGUGCCUAAUACAUGCAAGUCGAGCGGUAAGGUCUCUUCGGAGAUACACGAGCGGCGGACGGGUGAGUAACGCGUAAGAAUGUACCCCAAACUGAGGGAUAAGCACCAGAAAUGGUGUCUAAUACCGCAUGUGCUCUUCGGAGUAAAGCUUCGGCGGUUUGGGAACAGCUUGCGUAAGAUUAGCUAGUUGGUAAGGUAAUGGCUUACCAAGGCGACGAUCUUUAGCUGGUCUGAGAGGAUGAUCAGCCACACUGGGACUGAGACACGGCCCAGACUCCUACGGGAGGCAGCAGUAGGGAAUUUUCCACAAUGGGGGCAACCCUGAUGGAGCAACACCGCGUGCAGGAUGAAGGCCUUCGGGUUGUAAACUGCUUUUGUCUGUGACGAAUAUGACGGUAGCAGACGAAUAAGGAUCGGCUAACUACGUGCCAGCCGCCGCGGUAA
rnacentral:rRNA from 1 species